rnacentral:rRNA from 1 species
CGGCCGCAGUACUCUGACUGUGCAAAGGUAGCAUAAUCAAUUGACUUUUAAUUGGAGUCUAGUAUGAAUGGAUUUACGUAAAAGUUCUGUCUCAAUUAAAAUUUUCUAAAAUUUUUUAGAAGGUGAAAAAACUUUCAGUAUUUAAAAGACGAGAAGACCCUAAGAAUUUUAAAAAAAUUAGUCUAUCUUUUUUGCUGGGGCGGCAGUGGAUCAAGGAACAUCCAUAUUAUCGAGUUUUCGUGUUUUAAAUUACCUUAGGGAUAACAGCACAAUUGUUACCUCGAUGUUGGACUAGGAACCUU